UCUGAACAUCCUCCUGUGACUCGGCUCCUGCCCAGCUCCCAGCGGCCUCCGUAGACCCGAAGCCUCCUCCGGUCCAGCUCUCCAGGCCUGCCUCCUGCCUCGUGGCGGCCUUCCCCGGCCAUGCUCGUGCCGGCUUCCCGGCAGCCUCCACGAGCCCGGCUCCUGCCUCACGCGGGCCCCUCCAGGCCCAGCUCGUGCCUCGCGGCGGCCUCUCCAGGCCCGGCUCCCGCCCAGCCCGACGGCGUCUCCCAGCCCAAGGCUCCCUUCCUCAACGUCGGCCCCUCUGGGCCCAGCUCCUGCCUCCCGCUGAUGGCCUGUGCGGGCCCACCCGAGGCGGCCCGAAGUCGGCCUCGCCAGGCCCAGCUCCUGCCUGGCGUAGGCCCCUGGGGGCACGGCCUCUGCCCCACAGUGGCCCCUCCGGGCCCAGCUCGUGCCUCGGCUUGGCCGCCUCAGGCCCAGCUCCUGCCUGUGGGCGGCCUCUCUCCAGACCCGGCUCUCGCCUCCCGGCAUCCUCUCCAGGCCCAGAGCUGUUUCCAGUUGCUAGACCAUUUUUGUGCCUGCCUCGUUGCAGCAUCUCCAAGCCCAGCUUUUGCUUUUCUGCAGUUUCUUGAGGCCGAACUCCAUUUUUCGAAUGGCUUAUUUAGGCCCAGCUCUUGCGUUUGCAUUGUCCCUUCAGGCCCAGAACUUUCUCACGUCAUCGUCACCAGGCCUAGCUUCUGCAUCUGGUCAGCCUUUUAAGGCCCAGCUUUUGCCUCAUAAACUCAGCUCCUGUUUAAUGGCGGCCUCCCAGGUCCCACCUUCUGCCUUCCUGUGUCCACUCCAGGCCCAGCUACUGCCUUGGUGCUCUUUUUAAGUCAAUAAUUUUUUCCAGUCGACCUCUCCAGGCCCAACUUGUACCUCUGAGUGUCCUCUAGGAUCUCAGCUUCUGCCUAACAAUGACCUCUUUAGACUCAGCUCAUUUUCACUGCUACAUCUUCAAGCCAUUCUCCUGCCUCUUGGCAACCUCUAGUGGCCCAGCUUCUGCCUCACAGCAGCCUCUCCAUGCAUGCCUAGCUCCUGCCUCUUUAGGGAACUUACAGGCCUAAAACUUUCUUAAUUUGGGCUUCUCAGGCCCAGCUCCUGCCUUCUGUUGGCCUCUACAGGCCUGGCAUCAUCCUUUCAACAGCCUCUUUAGGCCCGGCCUCUCCAGGACCAAAACAUCCUUAAGUCAACCUCACCAGGCCCGGCUCCUGUCUCCUUGCGGCCUCCAGAGGCCGAGCUUUUGCCUGCCAAUGGCCUCUCUAGCCCCAGCUUUUGCCUGCCAAUGGCCUCUCUAGCCCCAGCUUCUGCCUUUCAUCGGUCUCUCCAGGCUUAGCUCCUUUCUCUUCACGGCCUCUGCAGGCCUAAAACUUCCUCAAUUUGGCAUCUCCAGGCCCAGCUCCUGCCUCCAGGCCGCCUCUGCAGGCCUAUCUCAAGCCUUACAACAGCCUCUUUACCCCCAGCUCCUUUCUCCGACUUGUCUCUCCAGGCCUAGAACUUCCUCAUGUUUACCUCACCAGGCCCACCUCCUGCCUUCCAGUAGCGUCUACAAGUUUGGCUCCUGCCUCCCAUGGAUCUCUCCAGGCCCCAAACUUUCUCAAGUCAACCUCACCAGGCCCGGCUUCUCCCUUUCAUCAGCCUUCCAAAGGCCAGCUUUUGCUUCAUGUCUGCCUUCCGAGUCCCAGCUCCUGUUUUAUGGCAGCCUCCUGAGGCCCAGCUCCUGCCUCCUAGUGGCCUCUUUUGGCCCAACUCUUUCCUCACCAGGGCCUUCCAGACCACGUUCCUGCCUUUUAGCAGCCACUACAGGCCCAGCUUUGCGUCCUUUCAAGAGUCCUGCCUCACAGUGGCCUCCCAAGGGCAACUUUCUGCCUCAUGUCAGCCUCUUGUGCCCUGGUCCUGCUUCCUGGUAGACUCUGCAGGCCCUGCUCCUGCCUUACGUUGCCCCUUUUAUAAAGAUCCAGUUCCUGCCUCCUGGCUGCCUCUAUGAGCCCAAAUCCUGCCUAACAACAACCUGUUUUUGCCCAGCUCCUGCUUCCUGGCAGCCUCCUUAGGCCAAAAAUUUCCUUCAGUUGACCUCUCCAGGCCCAGCUCCUGCCUCUCAGCACCCUCUUUAGGCCCAGCUCCUGCCUUAAUAAAUUUGAAUAAAUUAUUGUUAUGUGA